GUUUCAUGUUGAUAUCUCUUAUAGUUUUAGAGUUAUGCCCCGGACAAGAUUUUUCUAUAAGGGGAGAUAAUUCAAAAACCGGGCAAAAUAGAGUUAUGGUUCUUUGACACUGCACUUCCCCUCGAUGCCCUCUACCACUGUAUGAAGUUUAAACAAAUUAUCUCCAAGGGUUUUCAAGUUAUGCUCCGGACAAGACAACGGACGGACGGAUGGAUGGACGGACGGAUGGACGGACAGACGGACAAGGCGCCGACUAUAUGCUCCCCCGAAAUUUUUCGGGGAGCAUAAAAAUGUUUUAUAAGUGGUUAUAAUAUUCUCUUAAUCCAUUAGUGUUCAUUUUCCAGCUUUUACUAUAUAUUAAAUCCUAUAUUAUUUGUUAACGUGACAUCUUUACAAUUUGUGUAUUUAUAUUGUAGUGAUGAUGCACUAUGUACGAAUCCAAAAUAAAAUUCUGUUCUGUUCUUUACAAAGUUUUAUAUCUAAUGUUUUAACUAUUUUUUAUUCUAUCAUUCUAGACAAUUUGGAUAAGUCUAAUAGUCUAAUGUCAAAAUGCAAUAGAUUUCACUUACCAAAAUGGUUUUAAAACACAAAAUUUACUUAAAUACUAAAAAUGACAUAUUCGAAGAGAAAAAUAAAAUGAAGUGUUAAAAGACCAGACUUCAAAAUUGCAUUUGAUAUAGAUUUUAUAAUCAUAUCUUUUCCGAUCCUAAACCAUUUUAUUCUUAUUAUACCAUAUUAAAUCUGCUUCAAUUGUUUUCUUUCUAAAUGUUGUGUAGCUUGAUAAUCAACCCUUAUGAUACCAGUGCCAGUUGUAUGUAUAUUUUAAGUAAUGUUUUCCCUGUUGUUGUCAGCAUUUAUAGAACAGCUGUUGCAUAAUCUGUUAGAAGAUGGAUAGACAUGUGUCUUCUAAGGGGUAAUGGGAUGUGAGAGUAUACAUAGAUAUAUCUUAUUGAAUGAAUGAAAACAAAAUUAUUGGGUGUGUUGCAGGUUUGUUAAUAUAACAGAUAUUGAUAUAUCAACACAAAUUUACAUCAUUAUUUCACAGCAUGAUUAUAAUAAAUGCACAUACAAAAUAGUUUGCUCAUACCAACAUUUUCUUAGGCGAUUCCCUAUUAUAUCAUUUCAAUACUAUUUCUUUUUAAUAUCUUUUUGAUAAUGUUUUAUGGACUUUAUAUAUCUUAUUUUCAGAGGAAUAGGGCUAAACAAAGUAUGGGAUGAAUGAUUGCAGAAGACAAUAUUAAGCGAGAGUCCAGCCUUUUAUAUUUUGGCGAACAUAAAUCAAUCCGUUGAUUGGAUGUUGCAAGAGCUUUCCAUAUUUCCAAGUUAGGAGAAGCUAAAUGGGCUCUGUUUGAAAAGAUCCAGAAUUUCUGAGAUGCAAAACAACGUGUCUCUGUGAAAAGGGCAGGCUAAAGGUUUCAACAGCACCGGCCAAAAAAGUGGAGCUAAAACUUCAGCAUUGAACAAGGGCAGGGCAAUAUGUAUAUGGCAAUAUGUAUAUAUACAUGUGUAGCGUUGUCAUACUAUAUGGGUAGUCGGGCCUCGGUGACAAAAAAUGAUGAAAUAACAUUGUGAUUUUUCAGUGUCUUAACAUUCAGAAGAUUUAUUUUAAAAUGUCUUUUUACAAUAUUUUUUUACAAAACUUCCAUGGUAAAGGAAGUGCAAUUUAGCAUUGGUAAGAUAUUUACUUGAAGGCUUGAUUUUCAGAACAGAAAUGCAAAUACAAUGUAUUUAAAUAAUAAUCAUUCGUGUAAAAUGUAUUGCAAUUUUGAAUUAUGAUAUGAAUUUAGAUAGAUUCAUACAACUUUAUUCUUCGUAGAGCUAAUUUGUAAAAAUAUUUAAUGGAAUCUGACUUAAAGUAAAAAAAAAAAAAAUUAUCA